ACUGGGUUGCUGAUCCAGCUAUGGAGAAAGCCGCAGAUCUGCAGGACACAGACUCGUUAACUCUGAAGUUUAAGUUUAACCCGAAGCUGGGCAUUGAUAAUCCCGUCCUCUCCCUGGCCGAUGACCACGACCCCUAUGAUCCCUGGAGCCUGGAGCGGCCUCGCUUCUGUUUACUGAGCAAAGAGGAGGGCAAGAGUUUUGGCUUCCACCUGCAGCAGGAGCUGGGCAGGGCUGGGCAUAUGGUGUGCAGGGUGGACCCAGGCACCUCUGCCCAGCGCCAGGGUCUUCAGGAAGGAGACAGGAUCCUGGCGGUGAACAAUGAUGUUGUGGAACAUGAAGACUAUGCGGUGGUGGUACGCCGCAUCCGGGCCAGCAGCCCUCGGGUGUUGCUGACAGUAUUGGCACGGCAUGCACAUGACGUGGCCCGAGCUCAGCUGGGAGAAGAUGCCCACCUCUGUCCCACCCUAGGCCCAGGGGUCCGGCCCCGGCUGUGCCACAUAGUGAAAGAUGAGGGUGGUUUUGGCUUCAGUGUCACCCAUGGCAAUCAGGGUCCUUUCUGGUUGGUGCUAAGUACUGGAGGAGCAGCUGAGCGGGCAGGGGUGCCCCCCGGGGCCCGGCUGCUGGAAGUGAAUGGGGUCAGCGUGGAGAAGUUCACUCACAACCAACUCACCAGGAAGGUGUGACUGCCUGUCUCCCACUCUCCUCCCCCAAUCCGGGCCUGGGCCCCACCUCGGGAAGACGCCUCCUUCCCCAUGCGCCUAACCUCCUUAUCUGGUCUCCUACCUUUAUCACCAUCCUCCCCCUCUACAGUUUGUGCCAGGCUCCACUUAGUGCCUGGGAGGAGGGGCUGUGGGGGGAGCAUACCUCUUCUCUCCCUGCCCAGGUGUUAUACUGAUGCCCUGCUGGGUCCCCACAGCUUUGGCAGAGUGGACAGCAGGUGACCUUGCUGGUGGCAGGGCCAGAGGUGGAAGAACAGUGUCGCCAGCUGGGAUUGCCCCUGGCUGCACCCCUGGCAGAGGGCUGGGCACUGCCCACCAAGCCCCGCUGCCUGCACCUGGAGAAAGGGCCCCAGGGUUUUGGGUUCCUGCUCCGGGAGGAAAAGGGCCUUGACGGUCGCCCUGGUGAGUGGGAGCCCUGGGGGCGGUGGGGGAAGGUGGGCCUUGGGGUGGGCACACAAGCAUAUAUACACCUUUCAGUGCACCGAAGAGGUGUCCCUGUCUGAGCUCUGGCCCUGGGCUGCCUCUUCCCGUUCACUCUGGGGUCAGUCCCCUGGUGUGUACACAGUGGCCUAGGAUAGCUGGAGAGGAGCAGUGAGGAUGUCUAUGCCCCAGGACAGUUCCUGUGGGAGGUGGACCCGGGACUGCCAGCCAAGAAGGCUGGGAUGCAGGCUGGGGACCGGCUGGUGGCUGUGGCUGGGGAGAGCGUGGAGGGGCUGGGCCAUGAGGAGACGGUGUCCAGGAUCCAGGCGCAGGGCUCCUGUGUCUCCCUCACUGUCGUCGACCCUGAGGCGGACCGCUUCUUCAGCAUGGUGUGUGCUGAGGGGCAGGGGCUAGGGUUGGGGCAGGAGUGGGGCAGGGCUUGGGUCCAACAGAUUUGCUCUACCUGCCACCUGCCAGGUUCGCCUAUCCCCACUCCUCUUCUUGGAGAACACAGAGGCUCCCGCCUCGCCCCAGGGCAGCAGCUCAGCCUCACUGGUUGAGACAGAGGACCCUUCACUUGAAGACACAAGCGUGCCUUCUGUCCCUCUUGGCUCCCGACAGUGCUUCCUGUACCCUGGGCCUGGUGGCAGCUAUGGCUUCCGACUCAGUUGUGUGGCCAGUGGGCCUCGUCUCUUCAUCUCCCAGGUGACUCCAGGAGGCUCAGCUGCCCGGGCUGGGCUGCAAGUGGGAGAUGUGAUUCUGGAAGUGAACGGGUAUCCUGUUGGGGGACGGAAUGACCUGGAGAGGCUUCAGCAGCUGCCUGAGGCUGAGCCACCCCUCUGCCUGAAGCUGGCAGCCAGGUCUCUGCGGGGCUUGGAAGCCUGGAUUCCCCCUGGGGCUGCAGAGGACUGGGCUCUGGCCUCGGAUCUGCUGUAGAGCACCCCUGCUUGGUACAGACAUACUCAGGGGCUACUGUAUCUUCACUCUCCAGCCCGAGGUGGUGAAGGCAGGAUGCUCUCUCUAAGCCAGACCAGAGGGACUCAGACACCACCGAUCACAGGCUGGCCCAGGUGCUCCCUCCCUUCCUGCAGGCCCACCUGCCAGCAGAGGGUGUGGUUGGAGGCCUCAGACAGGUCCCUGAAGGAGUCUGAGGCUCCAGAGGAUGUCAUAUGGGAGUUUUGGGGAGCUGUGUCCCAAGGAUGAAGGUGUGGCUGUGGGUCUGGCUAGGAUUGAAGCCAUCUGGACCUUUUCUAGAUAUGACUCCAGGACCCUUGAGUGUAAUGCAAAAAUUUGGAGACCAGCUAUGCCUGCCCUCUGUGGGUGCCUUAGCAUUGCGGGAGGGUGGUGCUUGGUCACCGUUGCAUUUGUUAUAGAAAUGGCCGUUCCCCAUAAA
rnacentral:sRNA from 1 species